rnacentral:rRNA from 1 species
CUACGGGCUGCUGCAGUGGGGAAUAUUGGACAAUGGGGGGAACCCUGAUGCAGCAACGCCGCGUGGAGGAUGACGCAUUUCGGUGUGUAAACUCCUUUUAUAUGUCAAGAAAAUGACGGUAGCAUAUGAAUAAGCACCGGCUAACUCCGUGCCAGCAGCCGCGGUAAUACGGAGGGGUGCAAGCGUUACUCGGAAUCACUGGGCGUAAAGGACGCGUAGGCGGGUUGGAAAGUCAGGUGUGAAAUCCUACAGCUUAACUGUAGAACUGCACUUGAAACUUCUAAUCUAGAGUAUGGGAGGGGGAGAUGGAAUUAGUGGUGUAGGGGUAAAAUCCGUAGAUAUCACUAGGAAUACCUAAAGCGAAGGCGAUCUCCUGGAACAUUACUGACGCUAAGGCGUGAAAGCGUGGGGAGCAAACAGGAUUAGAUACCCUAGUAGUC